rnacentral:rRNA from 1 species
AUUGAACGCUGGCGGCAGGCCUAACACAUGCAAGUCGAACGAGAGGCGGACUGGUGAGUACUGUAUGGGAAACUGCCCGAUGGAGGGGGAUAAAUACUGGAAAAGGUAGCUAAAACCGCAUACAAUCGGUUGUGCCCAGAGGGGAUUUGCUAGUAGGGGGGGUAAAGGCUCACCUAGGCGACGAGCACUAGCUGGCCUGAGAGGAUGACCGGCCACACUGGAACUGCUACACGGUCCAGUCUCCUACGGGAGGCAGCAGUGGGGAAUAUUGCACAAUGGGCGCAAGCCUGAUCCAGCCAUGCCGCGUGUAUUAAGAAGGCCUUCGGGUUGUAAAGUACUUUCAGCGAGGAGGCGUUACUCGCCGAAGAAGCACCGGCUAACUCCGUGCCAGCAGCCGCGGUAAUUC